rnacentral:lncRNA from 1 species
GUUAAACUGAAAAAUUUAUCAAUACCUUUAAAUAUUAAUUAUAAAAACAAGCUCCAGGAGAAACAUGCAACUCAAUAGCAUUUGGUUUAACUAUCUAUAUAUAUUUUAACCUGAAGACACAUAGGUUGCCUUGGAAUGUUUUUUUUAUUAUGAAUGGUAAUAAUUGCUUUACAUUUUCCCAUUUACAGAAAAUGUACCUGAUGUGACCC